UACGGAGGGUGCAAGCGUUGUUCGGAAUUACUGGGCGUAAAGGGCGCGUAGGCGGUCUGCUAAGUUCGGUGUGAAAUCCCCCUGGCUCAACUGGGGAACUGCGCCCGGAAACUGGCAGACUAGAGUACCGGAGAGGAGGGUGGAAUUCCUGGUGUAGCGGUGAAAUGCGUAGAUAUCAGGAGGAACACCGGUGGCGAAGGCGGCCCUCUGGACGGAUACUGACGCUGAGGCGCGAAAGCGUGGGGAGUCAAACAGGA
rnacentral:rRNA from 1 species